rnacentral:lncRNA from 1 species
CUUGAGCAGCCUGGAGCUGCCACAGUUGCAAAGGCAUAUUUGUCUUUCACUUCACAACCCUUCCAGAGAAGGAUCUGUGAAUGAGCUGGCAAAUUUACUCAGUCCUGUGUACAUGGUGAGGGCUUACCAGGCUGCAUCCCUUCCAUGAUGUGUACAAGCCCUUACUUGCAAGGAUGACAGGAACUCUGAGUCAAUACCAGGGUCUUAACCCAUGUUCAUCUUGCCUCCUGCAUGUCUUGCUUGUACCACAUCAUCCCUGGCAGUGGAAAGGAGAGACUGAGUAAGAGCUAGGCAGAGAAGAAACCUUCAGAAGGAACUAUGUAAGAUUAAUAUUAGCUUUUGAUGUCAAAACAAAGGCAAAUGAUAUUUUGGAAGACUACAGCAAAAUCUUCAAGAUGGAGGGACUGGAUGGAAGGAGAUGUCAGGACAGCAGGUAACUUCUGUUAGCUGCUCCACCACACAAAUCACCCCCACAUUCAAUCAGCAGACUCCAAAGAAUGUGAAGAAAGCCUGCUGGGAAUUUGGGGAUCUACACCACUCUUGGGGAUGGCUUUUCUGACAGAGGGCUCAUGCACAAAAUGGUACUCAAGAUAUUCGCCCUUCAGACCUGUAAAUAUUGCUCCUCAUUACAAAACUUCAAAACCCAGUCAUGCACUAAUUUUAGCCUUCAGAAGGACAAAAAGUCUCAGAGGAGCCUGUGUCCAACCCUGCUGCUGA